rnacentral:rRNA from 1 species
UAGGGUUUGAUUCUGGCUCAGGAUGAACGCUAGCGGCAGGCUUAACACAUGCAAAGUCGAGAGGUAACAGGAGUGCUUGCACUCGCUGACGACCGGCGCACGGGUGCGUAACGCGUAUAGAACCUACCUUUUACUGAGGGAUAGCCUUUAGAAAUGAAGAUUAAUACCUCAUGGUAUUGUAAACUGGCAUCGGUUUAUAAUUAAAGAUUUAUUGGUAAAAGAUGGCUAUGCGUCUUAUUAGCUAGAUGGUAAGGUAACGGCUUACCAUGGCAACGAUAAGUAGGGGCCCUGAGAGGAGGAUCCCCCACACUGGUACUGAGACACGGACCAGACUCCUACGAGAGGCAGCGGUGAGGAAUAUUGGGCAAUGGAGGCAACGCUGACCCAGCCAUGCCGCGUGCGGGAAGACUGCCCUAUGGGUUGUAAACUGCUUUAUACAGAUAGAAACACACCUACGUGUAGGUGCUUGACGGUACUGUAAGAAUAAGCACCGGCUAACUCCGUGCCAGCCGCCGCGGUAAUACA